rnacentral:rRNA from 1 species
CCUACGGGUGGCAGCAGUGAGGAAUAUUGGUCAAUGGUCGGGAGACUGAACCAGCCAAGCCGCGUGAGGGAUGAAGGUACAGAGUAUCGUAAACCUCUUUUGUCAGGGAACAAAGGCGGGGACGUGUCCCCGGCUGAGUGUACCUGAAGAAAAAGCAUCGGCUAACUCCGUGCCAGCAGCCGCGGUAAUACGGAGGAUGCGAGCGUUAUCCGGAUUUAUUGGGUUUAAAGGGUGCGCAGGCGGUCUGUUAAGUCAGCGGUAACAGCCCGGGGCUCAACCCCGGCCCGCCGUUGAAACUGGCAGUCUCGAGUUGGAGAGAAGUAUGCGGAAUGCGCGGUGUAGCGGUGAAAUGCAUAGAGAUCGCGCAGAACUCCGAUUGCGAAGGCAGCAUGCCGGCGCCACACUGACGCUGAGGCACGAAAGCGUGGGUAUCGAACAGGAUUAGAUACCCCUGUAGUC